CCUACGCGGGGCAGCAGUGAGGAAUAUUGGUCAAUGGGCGGGAGCCUGAACCAGCCAAGUCGCGUGAGGGAAGACGGUCCUAUGGAUUGUAAACCUCUUUAGGCGGGGAGCAAUGCCGGGCACGCGUGCCCGGAGGGAGAGGACCCGAAGAAUAAGCAUCGGCUAACUCCGUGCCAGCAGCCGCGGUAAUACGGGGGAUGCGAGCGGUAUCCGGAUUGAUUGGGUUUAAAGGGUGCGUAGGCGGAUUUUUAAGUCAGCGGUAAAAUGUCCGGGCUCAACCCGGGCCGGCCGUUGAAACUGGGGAUCUUGAGUGGGCGAGAAGUAUGCGGAAUGCGUGGUGUAGCGGUGAAAUGCAUAGAUAUCACGCAGAACUCCGAUUGCGAAGGCAGCAUACCGGCGCCCGACUGACGCUGAGGCACGAAAGCGUGGGGAUCGAACAGGAUUAGAUACCCUUGUAGUC
rnacentral:rRNA from 1 species